UAUUGGAUAUGUCAUGUAUCAUUCUGUGGCAAUGAUAUUUGUUUACGUUUCCACGUUCAGGGUUACUAACCAGCGGUCAGUGCAAGUCCGGCGCUGAUUCGAAGAAGAGCCAAACGAAAUGAGACAUUACCAUUUCAUCGUUCUCAUUGGCCGGUUGAAUAGAAUUCAGAUACAACCGAUUUGUACAUGAAAGGAGACAGGGAUUAGAAAAAGCAAAUACCAGUCGGAAUCAAAUUCAUUGGGGUCUUUCUUUUCCCUUUUUGGUUGUUUUUGCUGAUUCGGGUAACUAUCCACCUAUCUAUUGGAGAUCUGUUUGAUGGAUAGUGAUACACACUUCGUACCAUCUUUAGAAUUGACUAGAUGGCAAUAAAGCCACGAGGAUAUGCACUGUGCGUACAUUGACAGUGGCAUAUGUCGGACCGUUCCAGUGUCAAUGUCAACUCUGUCCACCGUAUGGAGUCGUCGGCCGGGCGGCUACAUACUAUGUAGAUGAUCAUCGCGGGCCCAAUCACAUGGCCGUAUUGAACAGUAAGGAUAUCAGAUGAAACACGAUCUUUUAUUUUUGUAACUACGGAGUGGAAGAACGCUUGAGUCAUGUGUUCUGUUUACUUUCUGGUUCUGAUUGGAUUGGAUGUUCCUAUCGAACUGAAUUGUCGGAGCUGAGGCUGUUUCACCAGCCGCUGUCCCAAUAUCUUUGAAGAACUCCGUCGACCUCCAAACAAAACAGCAAGCCAUUAUCAAGUACGUAGUAUUCCGCACUGUAGAAUACACUAGACAAACUGGGUUAUCCGUUUGUUCGCUAUCUCGUCGUACAGGGAAGCACCCUACUCUAGUAUCAUGUACUCCGUACGUAUUGUAUGCAUGCCUGUGGGGCGUGACAGGGAUCUGCCAAGCAGGGUUCUGUUCUAGCCUUGCCCUGUUGCUGAGUCUUCCUAGGAGGGAGGCCACUGGUUCACAAGUGACCAACGCAGAAGAAUGCUAUUUAGCGUUCUUUUCUCUCUCUGCUUCUUUCAUGAAUCGCUUUUUUUCCUGCUUUUUGGUCUGAAUAUCGGUGAGGAAGGUUCAGGAAGGGUUUUCGAGAAAUUCUAGACUUUUUAUCGAUGCAUACUGAUUGAGUCAGGCGAAAGUACUUGCAAAAAAAAAGUCUCCUCGUAGUCGCUUGUACUCUCCAUGCCUCCCUCUUGCAUCGAGGCUAGUGUCGAAUCCAUAGUCGACCGACUAUCGACUCAAUCACUAACUACUGGUCCUUGUAUUUUUGGUGUCCAUGAGCCGACUAUCAAAUAUGACAUAUCAUUGUAUCAAUGAACGUAAUAAAUUGUCUAGAUUUAUUCGCACCUGAGUAGUAGCCAAGUGGCAGAUGGGCCGAUGCCAGAAACCCGUGCCAUCUCAAACCCUAACUCCAACUCGCUCUUUACGGUACCCGGCGACUAUCCAAUACAAACACAUAUGACUAGUCACAAACCCAUCAUUUUUUCUCAACUUCGAUUUCUAAGUCUUCUUUAUUUUUAUCUCCUCACCGCUCUUACAAGGAACAUUAUUAUAUGCAUGAAACCCGCAAAAAAGAAAAGAAAAAGGUACAGCUACAUAGUACAUAGACAUACAUAUGUUAGUUCUAAACGAAAGGCUGUGAUACCUCCCUACUAGAGCACCUAAGCUAUCUAUCAACCGCCCGUCUUUUGUGUAACCAUCAGCCAGCAGGAUUUUUUCUUCUGGCCACCCCCUUGCUUCCCAAACUAAUCACGUCGAGGUAAAAGUCUUGUCGCUGAAACGAGGGUCAUGAUCAUCAUGAGAAAUGACUAGCUAUGGUAGGUGGUCAGACCAAUAUUGUCAUGUCAUUUGCUCCUUGUUGCAUGUGUAUGUGUAACAUAGCCGGAGACACUCCCCCCUUCUUCCAGCUCACCGUUCUUUUCUGCUGUCACUUGCUCGGUCUGGAGAUAAGAAUCAUUAUGGCCGCCUUCUCUUCGGGUGUGGAUCUCGAUUUCUUGCUGACUGAUAAACAAACUGACCGAACAUUUGGGUCGUUCCGAGCCAGAUGAAACAUCCGACCCUACUAUAUUUCGUACUCUGUGUCACUUGAGAUUGACUAUAGCUGAAAUAAUGAGCAGGACUACGAAGCUCGACAAUCUCUCUUAGAGUUUUACAUUAUCACUAUGUAUCAAUAUUAUUAUUAUUCUAGCUUAUGGUCUUAGCAUGCAACACCUAGGGCUGGUAUCGGUCGUACUAGGCACGUACUGCGUAUAUCCCUUGUCCUACAGCUACUUAGCAGUUAACUGUCAUCUGACACCAAACGAGAAAACAACGAACCGGAAGAACCGGUCGAAACAAACAGUGAACCCUGCAGUCACGAAGCAUCCUCCGUCUAUCAAAGUGAAACUCAACUUCCGUUCAAGAUGAACAUGUUAUUAAUGCAUGUCAGAUAAAAGGGCAUCGUUCAUGCCUGUCUAUGCUGUGCCGAGUUACAUACUUGCUUCCGUGCUUUAGCAAGUACUAAGCUCUUGUCUCUCAUGAAUGGAUAACCGUGCUCCGAAUCCUUGAAACCUGUAGCCAAUCCGAGGUCAAAACUGGCGAAUCAAUCUAUUAAUGUCACAUGUACUAUUGACUAACUAAUUUAAUAGCUAAGCUCGUAGUGCUUAGUACUCGUAAAUUAAGUUGCAGAGGUUCCCAUUGCGGACCGAGCUCCGCUAUUCAUUUUUGAGUCGAUCUAAAACGUCGUAAACGACCCUCUGUACAAAGAUACGAGCAGAAAACCAUGGAAAAAAAGAAAGCGUUAAAAGAGGGGACGGAUGUACGGAGUAAUGGGGCGUCAUUAUAAGACUCGCUAAUAUUAUGCCUUUUGAUACGGAGGAAUACGAUUGUGAAAUUUUCGUAUCCAUUUGACAUGACUUGUAUGAACUAAAUGUUUAUCAAAUCUUCCGUCAGUCCAAUCAACGAUGGAAACGUUCAUAUACUUUCCUAUCGGACGACCGUGCUUUUCUUCUCCCUUUGUCCUUCGGCUCGAUGGCUGUAUAUUGUGUACAUUCUACCGAGUCAGGUAAUUUCUCGAGAUAAUUGUCUGAACGAAACAUAAAACAAAGAUGGGAUGUACAAGUUAGACUAAAAUAGAUAACUAGUGUCAUCGUAACAAUAUCAACAUGAACGGGACGAAAUACGUACCAAGUCCGGACGGCGCCAUACGGUCAACCAUUUUAGUGGUCAACGCCACUUAUCAAACCCCAACUACUUCGAUCCAAUAAAUCAUAUCGAGAAACCCCAUUCAUUCAAGGUCAUAUGAGGAUUUCCCAUUUUCUAAUCCACGGACAGAUACAUAUAUCCUAGUGCACUUGUCAUGGCGGCUGCAAGGGCUUACGCACUGCUGCAAGUACCCGGCCCGAGCUGCGGGCUGGCUGCGUGGUUUUUUUCUGUUUUAGUCUUUGAUGAUUCCCUUCUUUGACAUCGAACGAAUUGAUAGGUAGAUACACUGGGAAACUAAUUUCCACAUAUCGCCCGACUAUCAAAGUCCAGAUGUUUUAGUUAAUUACUGAACACAUAACUAACUAACCAGCCAUCGUGAUCAAGAAAAAGUUGCGCUACAGGGUAAUCAUUCACGGUUCAAUCAAAAAACAUGCAUGAACAUUCCUUAGAGAAUCUAAAGUAUUCCGUAAGCCGUACCAUAUAUAUUCCAAGCAUGUAGAAUUAGAUUAACCUCGCAUUGCAUUCCCGUAAUUACCUCCGCAGCGGUUCAAAUUAGUGUCAUGCUUAGUUACUCACUCUAGUUCCUAAUCUCAUUCCCCUUGUAUGUAUGUAGCAGAUAAACAUGUACAACUACGUAGUACUACAUACUACAGAUACUCGCUCGUGCACGGGUUUAAUCUACCGUACAUGUAGCUGCAUCUUACAUACAAAGGCAGGUCUAUAUAGAAG
rnacentral:lncRNA from 1 species